rnacentral:lncRNA from 1 species
AAUGGCACUGGGGGAAUUGACUCUGACGUUCAGAUAAGUAGCAGGGAGGAGAGUCUAAAGUCACCACUCAAUAAAAUAAUUUGGCACUUUUAUUAGGAAAUCGUUGUGUUUACCAAAGGAAAACCUCAUUUUGACUGGAAACACAGAAAAACCAAGCAAGUAAUUUCAAAGCCUGAGCAGGGAAGACUGAAGUACAUACCUGUCCCCAAGCAAAGCCAAGCUGAAUAGAAAAAGCCUUCUGGCCGGAGAGAGGACUUUGACUGGAGAAUAAGGCUCCCCACCGUAUCACCUUUCAAAUACUUGGAAAAAUCUUAGGGAAAGUGCUGGGCCUACUACAGAGUUGUUCAGCUUCUGGAGUCUUCCUGCCUUCUAGGUGCCUGUUCUAUCUCCCUGGGCUGCCUGUCAAGGAUGCCCUUGGUCUGCCAGAAAAAAGCAUUGCUGCUUUACCCUGAUACACACAGAAGUCUAGAUUCCAUUCACUCCAAUAUCAGUCCUUC